GACAGGGGAUGCAAGCGUUAUCCGGAAUGAUUGGGCGUAAAGCGUCUGUAGGUGGCUUUUUAAGUCUGCCGUCAAAUCCCAGGGCUCAACCCUGGCCAGGCGGUGGAGACUACUAAGCUGGAGUACGGUAGGGGCAGAGGGAAUUUCCGGUGGAGCGGUGAAAUGCGUAGAUAUCGGGAGGAACACCAGUGGCGAAGGCGGCUAUCUGGCCUGAUUCUGACGCUGAGGAGCGAAAGCCAGGGGAGCGAACGGG
rnacentral:rRNA from 1 species